rnacentral:rRNA from 1 species
GUUUGAUCCUGGCUCAGAACGAACGCUGGCGGCAGGCCUAACACAUGCAAGUCGAGCGAACCCUUCGGGGUUAGCGGCGGACGGGUUAGUAACGCGUGGGAAUAUACCCUUUGGUACGGAAUAGCCUCGGGAAACUGAGAGUAAUACCGUAUGUGCCCUUCGGGGAAGGAUUAUCGCCAAAGGAUUAGCCCGCGUUGGAUUAGAUAGUUGGUGGGGUAAGUGGCCUACCAAGUCUACGAUCCAUAGCUGGUUUGAGAGGAUGAUCAGCAACACUGGGACUGAGACACGGCCCAGACUCCUACGGGAGGCAGCAGUGGGGAAUCUUAGACAAUGGGCGCAAGCCUGACCUAGCCAUGCCGCGUGGACGAUGAAGGCCUUAGGGUUGUAAAGUCCUUUCAGAUGGGAAGAUAAUGACGGUACCAUCAGAAGAAGCCCCGGCUAACUCCGUG